GGGCGGUUGGCGCAAUGGUAGCGCGUUGGUUUUCGGAACGAGAUACACCAAAGGUUGUGGGUUCGAGCCCCAUGCUGCUCG
rnacentral:tRNA from 1 species